rnacentral:lncRNA from 1 species
UGAGAACCCGACAGCUGAUAUUCAGGAAAACUUUGACAAUGGGGAACCAAGACUGAGCCAUGAUUCAGAGAAAUUGGAAAACUCCGGAUCAGAAAACGAUGGUGUUCUGAGAUCAUUUUCUCAAGUGAACUCUGCAUCAGAAGCUGUAUUGCCUUCUGUUGUCACUUCCAAGUUGUUAUCUGGUGGACUUGUACAAGAUUCACCGGGGGAAAGUCCUGUCUCAUGGAAUACACAUGCUCAUCACCCAUUUUCGUAUCCUCAUGAGAUGUCUGAUGUUGAUGCAUCCGUGGACUCUCCUGUGGGAAGUCCUGCGUCCUGGAAUUCACAUUCUCUAAGUCAAACGGACAGUGAUGCAGCUAGAAUGAGGAAGAAAUGGGGAAUGGCUCAGAAACCUAUGCUCGUGGCAAAUUCUUCUCAAAAUCAAUCACGCAAGGAAGCCAGAGGAUUUAAACGGUUUUUGAAAUUUGGGAGGAAAAGUCGUGGCACAGAUAGUUUAGUUGACUGGAUUUCUGCUACCACUUCUGAAGGAGAUGAUGAUACAGAAGAUGGACGUGACCCUUCUAAUCGAUCUUCAGAGGAUCUGAGAAAUGAGGAAGAAAUGGGGAAUUGCUCAGAAACCUAUGCUCGUAGCAAAUUCUUCUCAAAAUCCAUUGCGCAAGGAUACAGCCAGAGGAUUUAAACGGUUUUUGAAAUUUGGGAGGAAAAAUCGUGGCACAGAUAAUUUAGUUGACUGGAUUUCUGCUACAACUUCUGAAGGAGAUGAUG